UGGGGAAUAUUGGACAAUGGGCGCAAGCCUGAUCCAGCAAUGCCGCGUGUGUGAAGAAGGCCUUCGGGUUGUAAAGCACUUUUAUCAGGAGCGAAACGCUGUCGGCUAAUACCCGGCGGAACUGACGGUACCUGAGGAAUAAGCACCGGCUAACUUCGUGCCAGCAGCCGCGGUAAUACGAAGGGUGCAAGCGUUAAUCGGAAUUACUGGGCGUAAAGCGUGCGUAGGCGGUUUCUUAAGUCUGCUGUGAAAUCCCCGGGCUCAACCUGGGAAUGGCAGUGGAUACUGGGAGGCUAGAGUGUGUCAGAGGGUGGUGGAAUUCCCGGUGUAGCGGUGAAAUGCGUAGAGAUCGGGAGGAACAUCAGUGGCGAAGGCGGCCACCUGGGACAACACUGACGCUGAGGCACGAAAGCGUGGGGAGCAAACAGGAUUAGAUACCCUGGUAGUCCACGCCCUAAACGAUGCGAACUGGAUGUUGGUCUCAACUCGGAGAUCAGUGUCGAAGCUAACGNGUUAAGUUCGCCGCCUGGGGAGUACGGUCGCAAGACUGAAACUCAAAGGAAUUGACGGGGUCAUAGCUGUUUCCUG
rnacentral:rRNA from 1 species